rnacentral:rRNA from 1 species
UACGUAGGCAGCAAGCGUUGUUCGGAGUUACUGGGCGUAAAGGGUGUGUAGGCGGUUCUUUAAGUUUGGUGUGAAAUCUCCCGGCUCAACCGGGAGGGUGCGCCGAAAACUGAAGGGCUAGAGUGCGGGAGAGGAGAGUGGAAUUCCUGGUGUAGCGGUGAAAUGCGUAGAUAUCAGGAGGAACACCGGUGGUGUAAACGGCUCUCUGGACCGUAACUGACGCUGAGACACGAAAGCGUGGGGAGCGAACAGG